rnacentral:rRNA from 1 species
UACGUAGGGUGCGAGCGUUAAUCGGAAUUACUGGGCGUAAAGCGUGCGCAGGCGGUCUGUUAAGACCGAUGUGAAAUCCCCGGGCUUAACCUGGGAACUGCAUUGGUGACUGGCAGGCUUUGAGUGUGGCAGAGGGGGGUAGAAUUCCACGUGUAGCAGUAGAAAUGCGUAGAGAUGUGGAGGAAUACCGAAUGGCGAAGGCCAGCCCCCCCUGGGCCAACACUGACCGCUCAUGCACGAAAGCGUACGGGGAGCAAAC